ACAGAAAAAAAAUACAGAUUUAUACUGAUAAGCGUAUUUUAAUAUGGUUGUUUUGGUCUUCACAAAAAGAACAGAAAAGAAAAAAAAGGAAAGAAGAGAGUACAAUUGAGGUAAUCUGUGGUAUAGACUAAUGCCAGGGGAUUUCAACACUCUAAACACAUGCUUUUUUAACCUUUCCCUCUUUAUGCAGCAUUUUCUUGGGCCUUUUUCUUCAUAACAAAGCCAUGGCACUUCCUGCUGCAUUCCCCAUGAUAAAGGCAUAUGGAUCUGGGAGAAAUGAAGGGGAAGUGAAAGUAAUGCAGUUAAGUCCUACAGGUGCCUGGAAGAGAAGACAGAUUGAAAUAAAGAAAUGACCCCUUUUCAGGACUUAUUCAGACCUGCUGAAAGAAACACCCACAAUUCAUCUUGACUGCAUGAUGUAAGAAAUGAAGAACUUUGAAGAAAGACAUCAGAGCAACUGGAAGAGCAGACAAAAUGUAUUAUGGCAUGAAAGAGAUUUCAGCUGCAAGCAUCCCAUUUAGUAAUUUUGUAUAUUCUGUCAUUCCUCCUCUGAAAAAAUGUCGUUUUUUGGGGUUUGUGUGUGUGUGUGUGUGUGUGUGUGUGUG